ACUCCUACGGGAGGCAGCAUGGGAAGUAUUGCACAAUGGGGGAAACCCUGAUGCAGCCAUGCCGCGUGUGUGAAGAAGGCCUUCGGGUUGUAAAGCACUUUCAGUAGGGAGGAAGGUAGUGUAGUUAACACCUGCAUUAUUUGACGUUACCUACAGAAGAAGCACCGGCUAACUCCGUGCCAGCAGCCGCGGUAAUACGGAGGGUGCGAGCGUUAAUCGGAAUUACUGGGCGUAAAGCGCAUGCAGGUGGUUUGUUAAGUCAGAUGUGAAAGCCCGGGGGCUCAAACCUCGGAAUUGCAUUUGAAACUGGCAGACUAGAGUACUGUAGAGGGGGGUAGAAUUUCAGGUGUAGCGGUGAAAUGCGUAGAGAUCUGAAGG
rnacentral:rRNA from 1 species